AUUGAGUUAUAUGGUGCAUCAGACUUAGGUUUAGAUAGGUUAAGCAUUGAAAGGACAACAUAUUUAGACCAUCUUUCGUCCAAAUUCCAAUAUCAAAGAAAAAAAGAAAUUGCAAUAUGGUGAAUGACAUAAGACAAGAUUCUCUUGUAAUUGAUCCAAAGGUUAUUGUCAGAACCUUUAGAAAAAGUUUUAUCUCUUUCUCAGUGCAGAUAAAAAAUGUCCUCUGUCAAAAUUUUAUAUGUAGCAUAAUAUUCAAAAGUCAAGCACUACAGCAAAGAAACUCAAUUUUAAUCUGGGAAAACGUUUUCAGACAUAACCAUCUCUCCUCAGUACCAUUUACAUCAGAAACACAAUUAUUACAGAAUAAAUUUCAAAUUAUUCUCAGAGAAUAAUUUGAAAUUUAUUCUGUGCUUGACUUUUGUAUGUUAUUUUAUACUAUCUCAAAACUUUAUUUUUUUAAC
rnacentral:lncRNA from 1 species